rnacentral:rRNA from 1 species
GUGAGGAAUAUUGGUCAAUGGGCGCGAGCCUGAACCAGCCAAGUCGCGUGCGGGAAGACGGCCCUACGGGUUGUAAACCGCUUUAGCCGGGGAGUAACAAGCGCCACGUGUGGCGCCAUGAGAGUACCCGGAGAAUAAGCAUCGGCUAACUCCGUGCCAGCAGCCGCGGUAAUACGGAGGAUGCGAGCGUUAUCCGGAUUCAUUGGGUUUAAAGGGUGCGCAGGCGGCGCGCCAAGUCAGCGGUCAAAUCUCCGGGCUCAACCCGGUGUCGCCGUUGAAACUGGCGUGCUUGAGUAGGUGCGACGGAGGCGGAAUGCGUGGUGUAGCGGUGAAAUGCAUAGAUAUCACGCAGAACCCCGAUUGCGAAGGCAGCUUCCGAGCACUCGACUGACGCUGAGGCACGAAAGCGUGGGUAUCGAACAGG